rnacentral:rRNA from 1 species
UACGGGGGGGGCAAGCGUUGUUCGGAAUUACUGGGCGUAAAGGGCCAGUAGGCGGCCAACUAAGUCGGAUGUGAAAUCCCCAGGCUUAACCCGGGAACUGCAUCCGAUACUGGAUGGCUUGAAUUCGGGAGAGGGAUGCAGAAUUCCAGGUGUAGCGGUGAAAUGCGUAGAUAUCGAGAGGAACACCUGCGGCGAAGGCGGGUUGCUGGGCUGACACUGACGCUGAGGCGCGAAAGCUAGGGGAGCGAACGGG